UGGGCACCUCACAGAGCCAGCAAACCCUCAAGUUUGCUGUACUUGGAGGAUCGACGCAAACACUGAUAGAGCCUGGGCUGUUACCCCCAGUCCUCAAGGCUCAACGCUUUGCUGUUGAGAAGAAGCAAAAGACAUCCAACCUGAAUGCAUCUGAAAGUAUUGUGGACACAGACAGCAGAACAUGAUGUUUAGUGAAGAUUUGAAGAAAAAAAAAAAGUUCAAUUAUUUAUGGAAGCUUCUGUGACUGUAGACAACAUCAUCUCAAGAGACUGAUACUGACAUAUACAAGGGAGCCUCAGUCUCAAAGCCGGGGGUGAUACUCAUGAAGAGGACUUGUCAGAAAACCAUUCUGGGUCAUCUUUUUCACUGAGAGGGCUGGAAGUCUUUGGAUAGAGGUAUGGCACUGACUACGGUGUGUGGGAUAAAACAUCUUGGAAUUGCAGAAGAUUUUUUAUAUGGUGUUUAGGGGAAGCAUCAAAGGUGGGAGAAGGGAGGGAUCAGGAUGAUUUGAAAAGGAAGUGUAAGGGAAAAAGAAGAAAAAAUGAUAAAAGGGAUUGAUUGCACAUAAGCAGAUUGCCAGUCAAUACACCUGUGUGGCUGUGUAUUGCACUGAUCCCUCCAGACUGUUAUGUUUUCUCAUUUAAUGCCAUUUCUAGCUGAUUUUCCGGUAACAGGACUCUGCUCUGUGUACCUGUGUGUGUCUGGAUGUCCAAGUGCCAGCAAUGGGAGUGAGGCCGUUGGUCACAACCCUGAGUGCCAGCACCUGGAGACCCCAGAGUUCAUGUAUGUUGUGUGGGUAGACACACCAGGGCGUCAUCACAGCCUACAUCUAACUGACUUACUAGCAAAUGGGGAGGGAGAUUUUGGAGUCAAGUGUGGCAGGUACCACAAGUCUAGGCCUGAAGGUGGAGAGAUCAAAGGGUCUCGAGUCUACCACUGGAGGAACAAGGAGGUUCAGACCAGCAACUGGAGAGUCCAUGGUCUUUGCAGGAUGACUGCUGGUAAGUUUAUGAGUCUAGACCAGCUACUGGGGGCAUUUCUGUCUCUCUGAGGCAGAAGGCAACUGAGGGACUGGAGGACCCAAGGGCCAGCUAUAUGGUCUGUUGGGUGUCUGUGAGAGACUGGAGGAAAUGACUGUCUCAAAACAUUUCAUGUACAUGUGUGGGGAAGGAGAAGGUUGGGUCUUGCCUUUGCUGAAGCUAUGCACUGCUCUAAACACCCCACCACUCCCUGGGGCCUGUAUCCCAACAUCACAGGGGCUGCAAAUCCCUGGCAUUCCAGAGGCCAUGCUCCACGCCUGCCCCUGGAGCCCCAAACCCAGCUCCUGAGUGGCUGGAUGACUGAAAGUCCCACCUGGGAGAGGGCCCAGGAAGGCCAAAGGGUACUUAAGCGAAGCAUGAGGUAAGUAUGUGUCUUGAUUUUACCUCCUUUUUACCUCCAAAUUCUACCUUUAGACUUUGCAUCAUCUGAAACAGUGAUGGAACCAGGAGUGGUAGGUAUAUUUGUUCUUUUCUAUAUCGCUCUCUCUUCUAAUUUCUUCUUCUCAAAGUCUGCGUAACUUAAAAUCAGAUGGGCUUGGAUUAUGUUUAAGAUGAAUGGGCUAAGUUAACCCUUUGUGAAAUGAUUUAUGUUGAUUUAACAUAGCUUCAAACUUUUGCCCAAGUUCCCUGAUUUUCUGAAGUUUGCCAGUAAAAUUUCUGUUGUUUUCUCUUGGGGAGUAUUUUUUUUUUAUUUUGCCCUUUCAUCUUACUCAGGAUGCAUUAACAAAAAGUAAGCUUGUUUAAGAGAGUCUUCAAGCAAGUUCUGGGCCUUACAGCGUCUAAGGCCAGGUGGUGGACAGGUCCACAGUGUGGAUAUUUGUGUGUGUAGGUCUGAGUACCAGUGUGUGGACUGGGGCUGCAUCCUUGGGCUCACAUGUCCAGGUACCUGCAGCUGGAAAGAUGGGGGGUGCAGGGUAGAUUAUGUGCCAUUGCCUAGCUACUUGGGGGAUUCAUGCUCUAACAGGCUUUAAUCCUGAUCAGCCAGAAAAAGUAACAGGAUAGGGGUUGUUAGUGCUGUUUUUGCUAGUGCUGACUGUGUGUGUCUGUGGUGACCUGUGCAGCUGGCUGUGCUUGUGCAUGCAUUUGUACUGUUAGAUUCUUUUAUUUUCAAGUUUUCCAACCUAAAUUAUUCUAUGUGCAUGUGUGUCUAGGUGUGUGUCUAUUGGGAAUUCAGUCUUGCUACUUGCUGGACCUCUGGAGAUAGGGCUGUGCCAGCUUGGUCUCCAUUGGGGUACUGCAUUUGGCAACUCCUAACAAAUAAGAUUCCUUUUAGAGGGAAAGCUCUCCUUCAUCUUUGUGCUUAUUGCCUUUCAUAAUUCCACAUUCCUAGUCUUGUGACUUUUGUGCCAGCAAUCUUCUUCAGCUAAAUAGUCCUCUGUAGCUCUUUGCAGAAGCCAGAGGGAAUAGCCUUGUUAAUGAGGCACUUAAACCAAGUGUUAGGUUAAUCAGGGGAAGAAGUUGUACUUGGUCUGCUAAAGACGACUAUGACCUUAAUUUCACCUUUUACAGAUUUUAGAAUGAGUGUUCCUCUUUGCAGUAACUCUGUCCUAAACCCAAGCCAUUAACUUCAGUUGAUGCCUUUGAAAGAAAAGCCA